UCGUGCUAGGCGGGGCGCUAGGGGUGCCCUGAACCCGAAACCCUCUCUAUGCGGGGCCGAAUCCCCGCCCGAGGGUCGGCAUGGUCGGGUCGAGCGCCCGAAACGUGGUGUUGAAGGCUGGGUCCUGCGCGGCGGGACGCUGUGAAACGGGUCAGGUCCGGAAGGAAGCAGCCCUAAGCGGUCGUCACCGGGUGCCGCAGGAGUGCCUGGCCCGAGCCGGCGGUCGGGGACGCGCCGGUCAUGCCGAUUCGACGGCGGGGGGCACGA
rnacentral:SRP_RNA from 1 species